UAGCUUGACUGGGAACGGCUGUAUUGGCACCAUUGAUCCCACUCCGCUAUGGAGUUUGCCAACACAAGGCAUCAAACAACACAAUUCAAUGCAACGUGAUGUUCAGUUAACUCAUAGCACAUGCACAAAAUGAAAUAUCCACAAAUACAGGUUCUACUAUGGAUGCAGCAUCCUCUCUGGUAAUAGCCAUGAGGCAGAAUUAAUUUGUUUUCUUUCCAGGAGUAUGCCCUCUCCUGCACAAGCAAGACCACAGACAGGUCUUCUAAAGAAGGCUGGGACUCAGGCAGCCUGUGUUUCUGCUAGGGACUGACUUCCUGAUUACCCUUGCACAAAUCUUAUCCACCUCAUAUCCCAUUUCUGAGCUUCAAAAUGAAGAUGCUACUUUUGCCUUCCUGCCAUCUUCUCUCCUUUGUCUGUAUGGUUUUGAGUGCUGAAAAAUCCCCUUUUUUUUUGGUACAGUUAGAAUGCAAAGCUGAUGACUUCUUCAGUGUUUCACAGCUGUCAUUCCAUGAUGAAAAAUGUUGUGCUGGAGAGAAAGGCACGUUACAGCCUUCAUUUCUUCAGUAGCCUGCUUUAUAAGAACAGAAUCUGGCCUGGCAGUCCUCCUUCAUAAAGCAUAGUAGGACCUGACUGACACUACAGGAGUUAUCACAUUUGAAUUACAGCAUGGCCCAGUGUAACUCUUAACAAAACUCUACCUUCUCACAUUUUUAAAAUAAGACAAAGUCAAAAUCCUUACAUACAGUAAUUGAUGGAUUGGCCUGUUGCUAUUUUAUCACUAGAAUUUGACAGCAGGGGCUGCCUCAAGCGCUAACGUCUUCUCUAAAACAAAAAGCCAUCUUGUGACAAAAAUGGGGCAAAGCUACCAGAAAUUUGAUAGCUCUCUCUUGUUUUGUUUAGAUAAGCCAAUAUCACCCCUCAUGCUCAGCUUCCAUCAGCUUUCUGUACUUCUCCUGCAUUUGGUUUUCACUUCUUUAAGUUGACUUACUGCACAGCUGGAUGCUCACUCUUAAUGGCACCCAGGACAGGCAGGGAAUAGCCACCUCAGAAUGAUGAGGGAAGAGCCACAUUUCUAGGAUGCAACGUGGAAACACAUUACAUUACUGAUGAAUGCUAAUAAUAGCUUGAAUGGCAAUUAAAAAGACAGUAAGCUGUAAGGCUUUGUUAACAGCAGUGUUAAGAUCUUAGGUUAAGGUGAAAUAUAAUAAUUGUAGAUGCCUGAAAGCCACACAGGUUAUUCUAUAGCUGCUGAGCUUCAUUUUGCCAAGAUGAAGUAAGGAUCAGAUGCUCCCCUGCAGGCAAGAAGGCUAGAAGUACUUUUAGCCCCAUUAUUACCUGAGCAAGACAGGCUUAAUAACAGCAACCUGAUUUAAUCAAGUAUCCAGAUUAUCCAGCAACUUGCAGUGAUAAUGCAGGUCCAAGGUCAAGCCAGGAAAUCAAUCUACAGGUCAGGUCUAAUCCACUGGGAGCAACCACAGUCAGAUGCAACUCAGUAAGUACCCAGCAGACACAAGAUGACAGAAUAAGCCCAAAAUCAAGAUAAAACGUCACCCUGUAGAUCAGGCAGGAGGACUGUGACUGAUUUAGAGAUCAGCACUUAUGCAACAAAGUCCAAACAUCAUGAAGACCUAAACAUGAGUUUAAGGUGAGCUCCUGGGCCGAGGGCCAGAGGGUGUUGGUCCCAGGUGAGGUUGGUUAGUCACAUUUCAUUCAUUUACAGUAAACAAAGAAACCCAGCACCACCAUUCUUCAGAGAAUCCACGGUUUCUCAUGCACUGUAUUUGUGAAAAACAAAGAUAUUUUGGAAGAAUUGUAUUGCCUUAAAUGGAUAUUGCAGGACUACCUAGGCUCCGUUGUUCUUACAAUUUAAUUCUCAAGCAGUUAUUGGCACAGCUGGCUCUGCACAGGACUACUGACUGCUCAGCAGGUCUCUAACGCUUAUGAUGACAUCUUCUGAACUGAUACCAUAUAUACAGUGGUUCUUAGUGUACCAACUCCUGAGAGAACUCAACCCUCCUUCCUGUGUUUAUCAUGAUGAGAUCUGAUGAGUUCAGGAGCUGUUGGAGUUCUUAUGACUGAAGUGUCUUUCUGUAGGAUGAUAAGUCGUAGGAACGAGAAAGAUACCUGCUCCCAUCUUGCUUCUGUUCUACUUUUGAGAGUAAUAUUUGUCUUUUGGUGAGUAAAACCAGGGAGUGACCCUUUCCAUCUGCCUUGGAUGCAAAGUCCACUCUUGCCUAAGUACAGCUGCCUAUCCAGAGGAGUCCCUUCUUGGAACAGAGCCUGAUUCUGCCAUUGGCCACACACUGCUCUGUCUCUGGCUGCUACUCCUGUUAACAGACUGCGCUGCCUGCUGCUGAUAGUCCAGAGCAACAGCCAGCCGCUCCUCAUGCCACCCCCUCCAUGGACCAGACAGUCUGCAGUGCUCAGGUGUAGGACUCCACAUUUGGUCCAGGUGAACCUCAUCAGGUUCCUCUCCUCCCAGCUCUCCAGACUUACUCUUUCACAAAGCCUCAGUAUUACUCAAAUUAUUUUCUCCAUAAAGACCACAGAGCACUUAAAUGGCAUGAGUUUGCUGAGGAGACGUGCUGAAUACAUCGACGACGAACACUCUCCUCUACAAAGAGCAAUGAAAAGAAGCAGAUUUUAGAAGCUGUGGAUCUUGCAGGCAUGUUUAAAAUGAACAAAAAGAGGGAAGAAAUAUCUGGUGUCCUUUGAAACUUCGUAAACUGUUUUAAGACUAGCUCAGUUGGUAUUUUGGACAUGACAAACGGAGGGACAAACGCAUCUGACAGACCUCUGAGAAGACACAGCCCAGGCCUUGGAGCCGGCUGGGAGACAGCAAUACCCAGGAGAAGACAAAUGGAAAGGGGAGGGUGUGGAAAUGGCUGGAAGCAGCACUUGGCCCCUCCAGACAUGCGUGCGGACACACAAAUGCGAAGUGCUGCUGGGGCAAUUGUAUAAUUAGGAAUUAAACUGUCACUUGCCCGAGACACUUUGGAUCUCAUCCAACAGAAUAUUGAAAUACUAAUCAGACUUUCCUUCAGGAAUAUUUUUUCCUUUCCUACACCAAGAAAUCAGGGAUAAUCAAUGUAAAGGUUUUUGAACUCCAUUCCCCAGACCUGUGAGCACAGGCCUUUGAUUUCAAGAGAGAAGUACAGGUGCUAAUAGUUGAUAUUAAUAUGAAUGCAUAAGUAAUAUUAACUUGGAAAAUAUCUAUUUACUCCUAGAUAAACACAUAUAGGAAAAUGUGUAAAGCUCUAAGAUUUAGGAUUUCCAGCUGCCAACUUACUUGCAAACCAAAGAGAACAGUUCAAUAAAUAAAUAAAGACUUAUUUCCUUCUAUCACUCUCCUACAAAUG